AUAAAUAAAAAAUUAAAUAAUUUUUUUAAAUAUAACUUUUUUUGGAGGGAGAUACUUUAGGAAAUAAUUUUUAUUAUUCAAAUGUGUAUGUCAGUAAAAUUCCUCUCACCGCUCUAAUUUCCUGAUUAGCUUAUAAACAACAACAAAAACCUUUGGAUUUUACUGGAUAGUAGAACUUUUCCAAAGACAGAAUGAAGACUGAAUUUCUGCAUCAGAUUCGCAGAAAUGAAUUUCGUGGCGUCUUAUUUUAUAGUCUGAAUUGGAUUCAUCCUAACUUCAACUGUUCCUUUUAUGAAAGAGAAAAUGGACACACCAUAGUAUAAUUUGUUUAUGGUACUAGAGGUUUAUCUCAGUGCUCAGUGCUGGCGCAAGAAAUCCACUACUCCUGGAAGCCAUUUGGUACCUUUUUUUCCUUUUUUUUUUAUUUGACAGGGUAGAGAGAAAUUGAAAGAGGAUAGGGAGUUAGAGAGAGGAAGGAAAAGCUAGACAGCUGUAGACCUGCUUCACUGCUCAUGAAGUAUAUCCCCUGAAAGUGGGGUGCAGGGGAUCAAGCCAGGUCCUUAAGUCUGGUGAUAAUGUGACUUAAAUGGGUGGCCACUGCCUGGACCCUAAUCUCUUUUGCAAAUGUACUACAUGGUAAUUACAAGGUAUGUGACAAGAACGAGAACAAAGAGGUUCUGAUUAUAUUAAAGGCAAUUUUUUAAAAAAUAUUUUCAGAUGAUGUUGUUACAAACUUUAUGUUUGUUUUGGAAACAAAUGAUAAAGCAAUUUAGAAAAGUCACUCAGAUAAAUUUCUAUGAUCUCUAACUGGUGUUAAAGAGCUCAUUUAAUUUGGAAUGAGCUAAAGAGAAGUAAAAUAAUAACAGUAAGCCUUGAAACUAGAAAAGCUUUGCCCAGGAAGAUCUGGGAUUGAUGAUAUGUGUUGGAAAUGUGAUUGAUACAGUUGUCAUAGAUCCAUUAGGGAUAUUUAUAGUAAAGUAUAAAAGAUUCAUUGUGGGAGGGGGAAAAAGAGGAGAUG